UCUUUUCUCAGCCUUCACCCAAAGGGAAUCAAGUCGCCUGCUGCACGGGAGGGGACCAUCAUGUCUCCUCUCCAAAGCCAGGCAGCCUGGCCUUCAGCCCCUCGCCACCUACAUGAGGUCUUUCUGUUCUUUUAUUGUGUCUCACACAGAGAGAAUUAACAAAACAGAAUCCCAGAAGGUUACCAAAUGCAGAGAAGCACCUUAAAAUAGAACGCAAUAAUUACCACAUAAAGCAACCAAGAACACAGGUUUCAGGUGGGCACGGCUGCUGUCCCCCAAAUGCCCACUUAGGAGGAAAUGCAGAUCUGUACCGGGAGGAAGCAGCCUGGGGCCUGGGCCUCCGGGGCUGGUUCCACUGAGCAACCCAGCCCGGGCCUCGCUGCGCGGUCCAGACACAAGGAAGGUAGUUUCUCAUCUGCUGCUUCAGAAACACAUGGCUCUUCCAACUCGAAACCUCAAGUUCAGAAGAUUUAUGGGCUAAAACAUCAUAACUAUAAAAUAAAACUCUCAGGAAAUGCAGCUACAACAGUCAAUGGAUCAUUACAGCAGCCACUUAGCAAGCCAUAAACUCACUGGGCAAACAGAACUGGGUCAGAUAUUAAUUUCCACAGUGGGCCCAGUGCCUAGAGACAAGUGACUCCGCCCCCUCCCUUUGCAGAUCAUCCAGGGGGUUUUCGUGGCAGGAAUGCCACAGGACUCAAGCUUAGGGAGUGAAAUCUGCUGUUCUCUCAAAUGCAAGCACUGCAAAGACUUCCCCUGCCCAACACUAUUACUGAAAAAAAUUUAAAUGGAAAUUUACAUUAAUUUAAAUGUCAGAGCCCAGCUCUGCUUCUACAAACUGCAGCUUGGUGUGUACGUAUGUAUUCUCUGACAAGCAGAAGGCAGCCUAAUUUUGUUCCCAAAGAUCUUGCUUCUAUUUGGUUCCCAGUGGUUCCCUGGGUGACCCCAUAAUUCUGGCCCAGGCAGAGUGAAAGGGCUGCCUAUUUCCAGAAAGAAUAGUCAAGAUCACAGUAUGCCAAGGUAUAUCCCUUUCCUGAUAGCCAACUAUCCCAAAGCCAGAGACAGACAAAUUCUGGCUGUUGGAGGAGAGCUCAGUUUUAUGUAUUUUCAAAAAUUCUUGCCAAAGAUAAUUAACAAAAUGUACGAGAAAAUGGAGUUUCACUGUUCUACUUUGGAAGGCUGACUGUAUGCAUAUACAAAUUAACCCAGGAGAAAGAUCUUAUGUUAGGCCAUGAAUUUGAAUAUGGCAUUCAGCUCAGGGUGUAGCUCAGGGGUAGAUCACUUGCAUAGCCUGCCUGGAGGUCCUGGGUAGAAUUCCCAGCACUGCAAAAAUAAAAAGAAACAACUCUGAAUUUGGGGUUCAGAAAGUAUAUUAACUGUUGUUCACAAUAUACACCCCACUGGGUUCAGCCUGGAUCUCCUUGUAAGGGGAGCAGAAGGGAGACACUCCAGAUCCCACCCCCCACUCUGAGUUAAUAGUCCCCUUGUUACAAUCCAUGGCGAAUUUUACCGACAAGUUAGAACCGUCAGAAUGAGACAGAUCCCCCAGAACUCUGCAUCCGCUGCUUGCCCGUGCAGCACCCAUGCACCCUGCAAUUAGUCUCUGCUGAUGAAUAUUAAGCUGGAUGGAGGUGUGAAGGUCAAUUAUAUCACCAAAUGAGGAAAGGAGAAGACACUUGCCUUGGCCUCUAGUUCUGUCUUAAAAUUAACUUUUACUAUCGAUCAAAAUGUUAUACUCAUUUUUCCCAUUUUCUAAAAUUUUUCUUCUAUAGGAGCAAUAAGGUAUUUUAAAAAAUUUAACAGAACUAAAAAACUGGAGAUUCACUCCAGGAGUGCCAAUGCUUGUUCUAACAUUUUCUCUUCGUGGGUUUGCAGGAAUAUCCAGAAACAGUAGGUAUCCCGGGGCUACCAGCUCCAAUGAGCUAGGGUCCUGGGGCUCUCAAGGGCCAGGAAAGCAUUUGAGGCCUAGGGCGGCCAGCACUGCAGUUGGACAGUGUCGGAAAGUGUCGUCCGAGCCCCUGGUCAGCAUUGCUUUCUUGUGCUCAAGUUACCUGCUUCUGCUCUGCCCCUAUCAUUCUCCCCAGUGAAGCCCAAAUUCAGCAGGUGAGGGCCCUAAGCCACUGCAGCACAGGAGAAGGCAAAGCUGUUAAAUAAUUUCAACUGUUACACACACAAUCCUUUGUAAGGCAGAUCAGAAAUU
rnacentral:lncRNA from 1 species